CAAUAGCGUAUAUUAAAGUUGUUGCGGUAAAAAAGCUCGUAGUUGGAUUUCUACCGAAGAUAGCCGGUCGGGUCUUCGACCUUGUAUCUGGUUUUGUCUUUGGUAUCCUCAUAGGGAACGUUUCUGCGCUUUAUUGCGUGGUGCGGUAUCUAUGACUUUUACUUUGAGGAAAUUAGAGUGUUCACGGCAGGCAAACGCCUUGAAUAUAUUAGCAUGGAAUAAUAACAUAGGAUCUUCGUCCUAUUUUGUUGGUUUCUAGGGCUAAGAUAAUGAUUAAUAGGGAUAAUUGGGGGCAUCUGUAUCAACGCGUCAGAGGUGGAAUUCUUGGAUUGCGUUGCGACAAACUACUGCGAAAGCAUUUGUCAAGGAUGUUUUCAUUGA
rnacentral:rRNA from 1 species